AGUAAGGAGUGAUCCAUCGGCUAAGUGUUUUCCCACUGUGCUGACACUCACAUUGCUGACAGUG